AAGAAAAUUGAGCCUCUUUACGAAAUGUUGAAUUCAGAUUAUCAAAUAAUGUGCAGGACAUGCUUGAUAAUUCAAUUGAUCAAGAAAUGAUUCUUGGUCCAAGUGGUAGUUGUGAAUCCCAAAAUCCUAUUGAGGAAUCUGAACUUCAAUUAUGUAAGAGUACCAGAAAAGGUGUUCCUAAACGAUCUUAUGAGAUUGAGGAUUAUAUCUUCCUGGUAUCUCCCACAGAAUUGGAUGAACCUAAUUUUGUGAUUAAGGCUUUAUCAAGUCCUGAAAAAAGAUGAAUGGAUAAAAAUGAUGAAAUAAGAAUUAGAGUCUAUGAAAAUCAAUAAAGUCUGGGAUCUAGCUGACCUUCCUUCUGGGCAUAAAGCUAUUAGGAACAAGUGGAUUCUCAAAGUUAAACGUAAAUCAGAUGGGUCAAUAGAAAGGCACAAAGCAUUAUUGGUGGCAAAAGGUUUUACUCAAGAAGCUGGAAUAGAUUAUGAGGAAACUUUUUUACCAGUUGUGAAAUUUACCUCAAUUCGAUUGCUUUUGGCUAUAGUUGCACGUUUAGAUUUAGAAUUACACCAAAUGGACGUGAAGACUGCUUUUCUCAAUGGAGAACUAAAAGAAGAAAUCUACAUAGAACAACCUAUAGGUUUUGUUGUUAAAGGCCAAGAAAAGAGGGUUUGAAAAUUAAACAGAUCAAUAUAUUGCCUUAAGCAGUCUUCAAGGCAGUGGUACCUAAGAUUUCAUAAGAAAGUGAUUUCAUUUGAUUUCACCAUGAUCGAUGAAAACCAUUGCAUCUAUGUGAAAAAAGUCCAAUGAAAUAUUUGUGAUUCUUUCGCUUUAUGUGGAUGAUAUUUUAUUAGCUAGAAAUAAUUUGGAGUGUGUAAAAACAGUUAAUUAUGGCUCUUAAAGUCAUUUGACAUAAAAGAUAUGGGUGAAGCAGACUAUAUAUUGGGUGUUAAAAUUCAAAGAGACCGUUCCAAGAAAAUUUUGAGUCUAUCUCAAGAAACAUACAUAAUGAAAAUUUUGGAACGUUUUCGAAUGAAUAGUUGCAAAUCCAUGGAUACUCCUAUAGCGAGAGGUGAAACUUUAAGCCUUGAAAUGUGUCCAAAGACUGAAAAAGAAAAAGAAGGCAUGUCGCGAGUACCAUAUUCCAGUGAAGUUGGGAGUUUGAUGUACGCUAUGAUGUGUACUCAUCCAGACAUUUGUCAUGCCAUAGGUCUGGUUAGCAGGUAUCAAUCUAAUCCUGGUAGAAUCUUUCGAUACCUGAAGGGAACUGCAGAUUAUUCACUAUGCUAUAGUGGAUCCAAUUUAUUCAUAAGAGGUUAUACAGAUUCUUGGGCUGGUGACCAGUAUGAUAGAAAAUCAACUUUCGGUUAUGCCUUCUUGCUAAAUGGUGGUGCAAUUUCGUGGAAAAGUAAGAAACAAACUUGCAUAGCCCUGUCAACUAUGGAAUCAGAAUUUGUGGCUUGUGCAUCUGCAAUAUAAGAAGUUGUUUGGUUGAAGAGAUUCUUUGAGCAUUUGAACAUCGCAAAGAAUUCUAAGGGUCCCAUGAUUUUAUAUUGUGACAGUCAAGCGGCUAUCGCAUAUACGAAGGAUCCUAAAUAUCACAGCAAGACCAAGAACAUUGAUAUUAAGUAUAACUUUAUAAGAGACAUAGUAGCAAGUGGAGAAAUAAUUUUACAAUACAUUCCUAUAUAAGAAAUGAUAGCUGAUCUCUUUACUAAGGCAAUAUCUAGAGACUUGUUUGAGAAACAUGUUAUGGCUCUAGGAUUACGUUGGAUAUAAUUAUGUUUAUGUAUUGUAGAUGACUUAAUUAUGAUUAUUAUCAAUAUAAGAAUCUUGAAUUUAUGUUCAAUCUCAUAUGCAUGCGAAAAUGUGUUUUAUUAAUAUAGUGUGUCGAACAAAUCGCGAGAUUGGCUCUCUCAUACGAGCAAUCACCUCUUAUGUUGAGGAACGUGAAGAGAAAAGUUCCACCAUAAGAUAAUGACUUAUUUUGUAAAGACGGAUGUGAGUUCCUGUAAUAAUAUGGAUUUGAGGAUUAUUAAAGAAAGAAACUCGGGUUAGACAUUUGGAGGUGUCUAGACCUAGACUGUACGAUGUUGAAUGACUAAAAGAAUGAGACACACGCACAAAUAUAAGGUGAUAACAUUGUAGCACGUGUUUCAUACCAAGUGUGCUUAGUGACCAAUGGGUUAAUGAAAGAAUGAAUCCCUGCUUCUUCAUUGUGUGAGACCCUAAAAAGUUAUUUUAACUUAUCAUUUAAAUACCCUUAGACCUUUAACUAUUUCUUGAAGUUUAGAUCGGUGUUGCUACUUUAGCAUGUUACUAAUAGCCAUGAGAGAUUCGGCAAUGCGGUGCAUGUCUAAGAAAGCAGUUGAUUUGGAACAGAUAUAUUCGAAUAGAAAGGGAAGACGAUUAAAAUGAAUAUUUUAACUUAUUUACACAAGCCGGCUAUUACACUAACCAUAUAAGAGUCAAGUGUAAUUGUGUAUAUAAAGUUAAUCAUGAACUCGAGUUCACCUCCUUUAGAGGAUGAGGGAUCGGAUAAGUAACUACUGAAGUAGUGAAUGAUGUUUGGGGUAUUGUGAGUAUUAGUAUCCUCAUAUUAGUAGAGAAUUCUUUCCACAAGUGAUUGGAUUCCUAAAUGUAGCUUAUAAAACCUUAAAGGUAAAGCUCGUGAUGCUCACAGGUCGCACGAACUAUUUGCCCGAUGAAUUGGUGAUUUGUUGAUGUCGUACUGGUGCGGGUCUAGUCCACCGUGUGCGAAGUGGGAUAUGUUAGAUUACCUUUAUGGGUCACCCAUGUGGACCGACCCGACCCAGUCUCUAUUGUUUUAAUUAUAUGAUAAAUGGAAGAUAAGCAGGUAGCAUUUUAAAAUUUGAAAAAUAAGGGGGAACAGUUACUAAGUAACUAUUUAUCCACCCAUAUACUCCUGUACAUAUAUGCUUCUUCCUCUGAUAAAGAAGAAAGAUAAGUGAAAAACUAAACUCUGGUAAAUAACAAAAACAUCAACAAAAAUUCAAAAAGGAGGCUUUUAGUUUGUGAAUCAACUCUCCGUUUCCAAGAGAGACGAAAAUUGACUUGAGGCUAUUGUGUUAUUAGCAAAUUCAACACUUCCGCUACAACAGAUUAAGGUACAUACACUGUUUUUACUCCGAAUUUGUUUUCAACUUUCAAUCCUAAUGUCUCUUCCACAUACAGGAAGGCUUCUUAAUUGGCAGUUUCUCCUGAUUUUGACAUAAAAAAGAUUGGUAUAAGCUCCUUAUACAGGAAGGAUCCUUAAUUGGCAGUUUCUCCUGAUUUUGACAUAAAAAAGAUUGGUAUAAGCUCCUUAUACAGGAAGGAUCCUUAAUUGGCAGUUUCUCCUGAUUUUGACAUCAAAGGAUUGGUAUAAGCUGCAUUAGCUCGCUGACUCCCAUUCAUGUCAGGUGAUUUGAUUUUACCCUGGUGUUAACUAUCAGCAGGUGACAGAGAAGGUGGAGCAAAAAUGACGGGAAGUAUGCAACUAAUACGUGAGUUCUAUGAUCUCUCAACCGCUGCAUCGCAUAUGAGGUUAUUGUUUCGUAGUAUUUUCCCACUUUGGGUUUUAAAUGGGAAUAGUUAUUUUAGCCAUCAUAUCAGUAUGAUUUACAAGUUGAAUGGCUUAAUCUAUCUGGAGGUGCGUCUGCGGUACUGAUAAUUUUCUGUUUAAUAUAUCCAAAGAGUAUUCUUCUGAAGGGAUUUACUUAUUUACUUAUGUUUCCUCGGAGAUUCUGUCGUUUUAUGCUAAAUAUCAACAAUUAAGCGGCCAUUGACUGAAGAGGUGCCACUGACUGAAGGUGCUUUAUUCUAUGAUGUCACCUUUAUGUGAUUCUGUUCUCGUGCAGACCUUGAACACAAGACUCCUGUACUCUUCUCGGAGUAGAUAGAUUUUCGGGAUUUUCAUUUUUCCCCAGUUAAAUUGAUGUCGAACUUCAAGAAUGGAUGCUCCUAUGAAGAAACCUCAGGAUAAUGGACAGAAAACCAUAAUCAGUGAUGACCUUUUUGGCUAAGAGUCUAAAAAACCAGGAGCGUCAACAAAGAUGCUGAUACAACGGAGGUGCUGGGCACAAACCAACUGGCUUCAUUACCGGUGGAUGUGCCUGUAAUUGUUGCACCUCAGGAUAGUGCACAGCCAGUGAAUGUUGCUCCUCUGGACUCUUUGACUUCAGUAACUGUCACUCCGCUGGACUCCUCAAUGCCAAUGAAUGUUGCUCCUCUGGAUUCUUCGGUUCCAGUAAAAGUGGACUCUUCAGUCCAGUGAAUGUCGCUCCCCGGGCAUAUGUAAUGCCAACGGAUGUUGCUUCUAGAGAAUGUGUGAUGACAGUGCGUGCUGCUCCUCGGGAAUCUGUCACCCGUAUUUACUAUGCGUGAAAUUGGAAAAGGGAUGCCCAAAAUGCCCAUGCAGUGAGACAGAAUGAAGUUAGUACUAGUGGUACAGUUUCGCCAGAGUUACUUCAACUGGUGGAAGUCAAGUACCAUCGUUAUCCCGAGUUGAAUAGUCGGAUGUAGCGUUGGGUAAUGUGCUUGCUUCACCUAUGACUGCAUGGAAAAAGAAUAUGGAUAUAUGAAUUCUUGUAUGAAUUGAAAAAAAAUAGUAAAUCUCUGGUUGCUUUUUGUAUUGAUAUUCAGAGAUUAAGCUCUGCCACUAUGUGACGAGGAGGUUAGGGAUUUGACCUGUGGAAGAAGUCUCUUGCAGAAAUGCGACGUAAGACUGUCUAUAGUAAUAGACCUUUGUGGCUUGAACCUUUCUCGAUCUCGUGCAUAAAAGGAACUUAGUGCA